rnacentral:misc_RNA from 1 species
GAAAUGCGAUAAGUAAUGUGAAUUGCAGAAUUCCGUGAAUCAUCGAGUUUUUGAACGCACAUUGCACUCCUUGGUAUUCCGAGGAGUACGCCUGUUCGAGCGUCAUUAAACUAUCAAGCUUGGCUUGGAUUUGAAUAUCUGUUACGACAGUAUUUCAAUAACAUAGGCAACUGACCAUUUGUGAUGACUCACUCGAGUUAGUUGGCCUUUAAACUUUUUCAAUCAAAAGUUGACCUCGGAUCAGGCGGGGAUACCCGCUGAACUUAA